rnacentral:rRNA from 1 species
UACGUAGGGUCCGAGCGUUGUCCGGAAUUACUGGGCGUAAAGAGCUCGUAGGUGGUUUGUCGCGUUGUUCGUGAAAACUCACAGCUCAACUGUGGGCGUGCGGGCGAUACGGGCAGACUAGAGUACUGCAGGGGAGACUGGAAUUCCUGGUGUAGCGGUGGAAUGCGCAGAUAUCAGGAGGAACACCGGUGGCGAAGGCGGGUCUCUGGGCCGAUACUGACGCUGAGGAGCGAAAGCGUGGGGGAGCGAACAGG